GAUGAACGCUGGCGGCGUGCCUAAUACAUGCAAGUCGAGCGAACGGACGAGAAGCUUGCUUUUCUGAUGUUAGCGGCGGACGGGUGAGUAACACGUGGAUAACCUACCUAUAAGACUGGGAUAACUUCGGGAAACCGGAGCUAAUACCGGAUAAUAUUUUGAACCGCAUGGUUCAAAAGUGAAAGACGUUCUUGCUGUCACUUAUAGAUGGAUCCGCGCUGCAUUAGCUAGUUGGUAAGGUAACGGAUUACCAAGGCGACGAUGCAUAACCGGCAUGAGAGGGUGAUCGGCCACACUGGAACUGAGACACGGUCCAGACUCCUACGGGAGGCAGCAGUAGGGAAUCUUGCGCAAUGGGCGCAAGCCUGACGGAGCAACGCCGCGUGAGUGAUGAAGGUCUUCGGAUCGUAAAACUCUGUUAUUAGGGAAGAACAUAUGUGUAAGUAACUGUGCACAUCUUGACGGUACCUAAUCAGAAAGCCACGGCUAACUACGUG
rnacentral:rRNA from 1 species